CUAACACAUGCAAGUCGAACGAAGUCUUCGGACUUAGUGGCGCACGGGUGCGUAACGCGUGGGAAUCUGCCCUUGGGUACGGAAUAACUCAGAGAAAUUUGUGCUAAUACCGUAUAAUGUCUUCGGACCAAAGAUUUAUCGCCCAAGGAUGAGCCCGCGUAGGAUUAGCUAGUUGGUGAGGUAAAAGCUCACCAAGGCGACGAUCCUUAGCUGGUCUGAGAGGAUGAUCAGCCACACUGGGACUGAGACACGGCCCAGACUCCUACGGGAGGCAGCAGUGGGGAAUAUUGGACAAUGGGCGAAAGCCUGAUCCAGCAAUGCCGCGUGAGUGAUGAAGGCCUUAGGGUUGUAAAGCUCUUUUACCCGGGAUGAUAAUGACAGUACCGGGAGAAUAAGCUCCGGCUAACUCCGUGCCAGCAGCCGCGGUAAUACGGAGGGAGCUAGCGUUGUUCGGAAUUACUGGGCGUAAAGCGCGCGUAGGCGGUUUUUUAAGUCAGAGGUGAAAGCCCAGUGCUCAACACUGGAACUGCCUUUGAAACUGGAAAACUUGAAUCUUGGAGAGGUCAGUGGAAUUCCGAGUGUAGAGGUGAAAUUCGUAGAUAUUCGGAAGAACACCAGUGGCGAAGGCGACUGACUG
rnacentral:rRNA from 1 species